ensembl:lncRNA
GGCACAGGUCCAUUUAAGAAGGGACUGAGGAGAGCAUCACAGUAUGUGUUUGUCAUGGUCCUCAGAGUUUUUCUUCCAAGGUUACAGCCAUCUCUGCACCAAUGAGCUCUGGAUCUGAUAAAGGGCUCAGGCAGUUUCAUUUCCCUGACAGCAGCCCAUCUGUUUUUCCAGGCUUCUAACAGCCAUCCCUAUGACCUGCUUGUUGCUGAGCUGAAGAAGCUGCCUUAACUGUCCUGCAGGAGGAGGGGUGUAUGUCUCCAUCAUUGCUGGGGAUGGGACACCGAAGGCCAGGAAAGGUGAGAACUUGCCAAAAGACACGUAGCAAACACCAAGGCGGAACUGAGAAGAGAACUCAUCAACACUGGAUUCUUGGCUUGGAGCCAGCCACUUGGCCUCUCUGCCUCAAGUUUUCUCUUCACCUAUAAAAUAAGAGGAUAGCACUCAAUGUCCACAAAGCCUUCAUCUUCUCUGGACUACAGUGGUUCUACAAAGGCUUCAGUGAUCCAAAAUGCUGCCCCACAGCCUGGAUGGGAGGGGAGUUUGGGGAAGAAUGGAUGCAUGUAUAUGUAUGGCUUAGUCUCUCUGCUGUGCACCUGAGACAAUCACAGCAUUGUUAAUCAGCUACAUUCUAGUAUAAAAUAAAAAGCUACAAAAUAUUCUGCCCCAGCUUUGAUGUGACAACAGGAUUCUCACUAGCCCAACUCCUUUUAUA